rnacentral:tRNA from 1 species
GGUGCGGUGGCCGAGCGGUUGAAGGCACACGACUUGAAAUCGUGCGAGGUUGAAAGAUCUCCGUGGGUUCGAAUCCCACCCGCACCG